AUUGAACGCUGGCGGCAUGCCUUACACAUGCAAGUCGAACGGCAGCGGGGGAGAAGCUUGCUUUUCCUGCCGGCGAGUGGCGAACGGGUGAGUAAUACAUCGGAACGUGCCCUGUAGUGGGGGAUAACUAGUCGAAAGAUUAGCUAAUACCGCAUACGACCUGAGGGUGAAAGUGGGGGACCGCAAGGCCUCAUGCUAUAGGAGCGGCCGAUGUCUGAUUAGCUAGUUGGUGGGGUAAAGGCCUACCAAGGCGACGAUCAGUAGCUGGUCUGAGAGGACGAUCAGCCACACUGGGACUGAGACACGGCCCAGACUCCUACGGGAGGCAGCAGUGGGGAAUUUUGGACAAUGGGCGAAAGCCUGAUCCAGCAAUGCCGCGUGUGUGAAGAAGGCCUUCGGGCUGUAAAGCACUUUUGUCCGGAAAGAAAUGGCUCUGGUUAAUACCUGGGGUCGAUGACGGUACCGGAAGAAUAAGGACCGGCUAACUACGUGCCAGCAGCCGCCGUAA
rnacentral:rRNA from 1 species